UACGUAGGGUGCAAGCGUUAAUCGGAAUUACUGGGCGUAAAGCGUGCGCAGGCGGUUUUAUAAGACAGAUGUGAAAUCCCCGGGCUCAACCUGGGAACUGCAUUUGUGACUGUAGAGCUGGAGUGCGGCAGAGGGGGAUGGAAUUCCGCAUGUAGCAGUGAAAUGCGUAGAGAUGCGGAGGAACACCAAUGGCGAAGGCAAUCCCCUGGGCCUGCACUGACGCUCAUGCACGAAAGCGUGGGGAGCAAACAGG
rnacentral:rRNA from 1 species